rnacentral:tRNA from 1 species
GCUUUUAUAGUUUAGCUAAAACGGUAGUCUUGUAAACUACAGUCGAUUCUUCUAAAAGUA